CAAAGGUUAUCCAUCUCCAUCCAACCUUAAUGUUAAAUGCCAAAGGUUUCUGACAUCGUCUAACUUUAUUUGAGGUUUGACGUUGUAAUGAAAUGGUGCUGUUGUUGAGGGGACUUUGUUUUAAAAGUCUAAAGUGAGCAGUUCCGCUCUAUCGUUUUCAAACGGCCGUAUAGUUUAAUCUACUGGCAUAAUACAUUUACUGUUCAUGGUUAUUCAAUCUAUUUGACCACUCGCUCGGUAAGUUAACGUCACGCAUCUCGUGAUGAGCUCAGCACGUGCGGUCACGAGUCCUCGCGCCGUGUAGUCUCCGUAGACCUCAUUGAGCGAGGUGUCUCCCGUGUAGUCUGCAGACCUUAUCCAGCGAGGCUCAGCCUGCUGUGGCUCCGUCCUUUCCUGUAGCGUCUGCUAGAGCGACCUGAGGCGGUUUGAGCCCCUGCUGUGGCCCCUCGCGGCAGGGUUAUAGAUAUGGACCUUGUGAUGGGUGAGCCAGUGAGGGGACCCCGUGCCACCAAGGGACUAGUCUGCAGGACAGCAGAGACUAGUUCCUGCUCGGGCCGUUUAAAUUAACAGCUGGGGCUUGACUAUGACUAAGCUGAAUAAGUAAGUUUAGUUAGGUUAUAUUCCUGUUGGUGAUGCUGCAUAUUUGCCACAUGGUGUGGUGCAUUGAGGGUGUGCGCAGACCUUUUCCAGCGAGGCUCAGCCUGCAGUGGCUCUGUUCUUUCCUGUAGUGUCUGCUAGAGAGAAGAGAGGCUGUUUGAGGCCCAGCCGUGACUCUUUACGGCCGGGUUAUAGGAACAAUGAGUUAAUUUAAGAGCCUCGUGGUGCCUUCCGCCCAUUGAACCUGUAAACUAAGUGUCCACAAACGACAAAUCUGAAGCGGAUUUCAUCAGAGUUGGAGAAAAAGUUUGUCUGCUGAAGGAAAACAAAUGUAACAUUUCUCGUGUGAAUUUGCUGUUAUUUAUUCCACUACAAAAUAAAUGUAUAUUCUCGUAA